AACCAUUGGGCCUACAAGAACGAUAGAAGGGUGCCGACCAACUUCCCACAACCUGCAGGCUUCUCAAACAUCAACUUAUAUCUUAAAAGAAAAUGAACAUGACCUGAGAUGUAUCGGUCACAUCAACGAAACUCAUGGAUCUUAUGUCCAUAAUACUUAUGUUUAUUUUUAUAAGAUGUCUAUAAGUAUAUUAAACGACAAUAUAUAACAAGGAUUAACGUAUAAUAUAACGAUGAUUUGACUGGAGCGGCGUCAUUACCCAGAAAAGUAUUUUUAUUUCCUUAUUAUUACCUUCCAGCUUUAUUUCCAGUACAGUAUCAGUUAUAAUUUUCGUUAAAAUCAUUCUGAACAAUAUUUUGUUUAUAAUAAAAUAAACCACAAUUUGUAAUUAACUUUUGUUCAAAUAGAACGUUAAAUAACACCAUUACCCGUCGCUGACAGGACGCGAAUGAGCCAAUCGGAACGAUUCGGCAAUCUUCGGUAAUUUACGACGCGCGAGACGAUUGCCGAUUCGCGACCGUUGGCACAUAGCUAUUGGAACAGAUGUAUAAGGCGAAUAAAAACGUGUUGUGUAAAUAAGUAGAAUAAUAAAAACGUGCAUUCGAUAUCCUAACAAUUUUUGAAUAACAAUAAAUUCUUAAUUGCCAUACUGUCUGUCUGUAUGUGGUAACGGAUGUGCGAAUUCUGGUGGAUGCUUGUAUCUCUAAAAAAGGAAGAGAGCGUGUAAGCCGCAUAAGUUUGAUCGGAGGGACACGAUAGUUAUCGAGUGUGCUCGUAGAAAAAGGCUGGGAAGAAAUCAGAAGUUGGCAUCUCAUAAAAUGAAAUGAUGCAAGAGUAGGUGCUAACUAGGAGAGUGGAACGGCAACGAGGAUCCAUUGAAAACUUUUAACGAGUUAAAGACGCAAAAAUAGGUCAACGUGUCAAGGUAUUAAGGGAUGAUUAAGCUAGAAACUUGAAGCAUUAUAUGUAUAAUGUAGUGAUACACUUGCUUUGUCCAUGAAGUUGAUGGUGAAAUAUCAUCGUUCUCGAGAGUUAAUCUGAAUAGUUUGAAUGUAUGCUUGAUAUUACGGACGACAGCUGCACUUCCGUUUAAAAGUCGAUACGAACUUUCAUGUGUCAUGUAAGAGUUAAAUUGUUGUCGAUGAAAUAUCUCAUAUAUUUAUUGUAGUUCAAAUAGUGAUUUUGUUCAAAAUCAUUAUUGAGUCUAACAUUACUUUAAAA
rnacentral:lncRNA from 1 species